GGAGGUAAUUGAAUCAUGGGGGCAGGUCUUUCCUGUGCUGUGCUCAUGAUAGUGAGUAAGCCUCACAAGGUCUGAUGGCUUUAUAAGGCUAAGUUUCCUAGCACAAGUUCUCUUUGCCUGCUGCAAUCCAUGUAAGAUGUGACUUGUUCCUCCUUGCCUUCUGCCAUGAUUGUGAGGCCUCCACAGCCAUGCGGAACUGUUGAAAUACACACUACCUGAAGCUGGAUAACUCAUGAACUCUGUUGACAAUUAUAUUCUUUGUCUUUUUAAUUAACUCAUUUGGAGUUGGUGUCCUGAGGACCUAAGCCUAAGAAUCUUCAAGAUGGAAGAGUAGAGUGAACAAUGAAUGAGCCAGAGGGCUCUUGUCCUCUGUGUGCAGCUCUGGGCAGCCAGCAGGUGGAUAUGGGACUUGGCCUGCUGGAGGGGCCCUGGCAAGAGGAGCUGGCAGGAGCAGAUGGCAAAGGAUAAAGCGCUCCCUUGUUGGUGUCCCCACAGUCCAGGCUGGUGCUGAUGCCGUCCUGCCGUCCUGCAUCAGAGCCACUCAUGCCCGUGUGCGCACUCUUUGUCGGGGUCUGACACCGUUGCAUCGUAUAUCACCUGUGUUGUCAUGGUCAGUGCUCAACAAAUGCCCCUACUGAUUCAAGUAUAUGAGCAAGUCAAAUAAAAAAAUAAUAUGGCCGGGCGCGGUGGCUCAAGCCUGUAAUUCCAGCACUUUGUUAGGCCGAGGCGGGCGGAUCACAA
rnacentral:lncRNA from 10 species